CUACCUAACAUUAUUGGCACGUGUACCAUGUUUCAGGCAUAUGUAUUGUUUCACGUUAUUCUUAACACUUCACUGAGGUUGCACCAUUUUAUGUAUGAAGGAAAUGAAGCAGAGACAGGUUAACUAACUCAUCCAAGGUCAUACAUGUAGUAAAUAGUGGAGGCCCUUCGCACAACUAACAGCCUGGCUUUCACAGGCUGGCAUUUUCUAACUCUCAACACUUGGCUUAUACCUGCUUCUUCAUCUUGAAUUACCUUCUUCUUGCUUCCUCUCUCUCUUUGUACCCUUUGACCUACACUUCUGCUUUCCCCCACCCACCAUCCCAGCUUCUGGUAACAAACAUUCUACUUUCCUUCUUUUUUCUUUUUAUUUUUUUAUGUUUUUGAGACAGUCUCCAUGUGCCGCCCAAGCUGGAGUGCAGUAGAGCUAUCUCAGCUCACUGCAACCUCUGCCUCCCAGGUUCAAGUGAUUCUCCUGUCUCAGCCUCCUGAGUAGCUGGGAUUACAGGCGCCCGCCACAACACCCGGCUAAUUUUUGUAUUUUCAGUAGAGAUGGGGCUUCACUGUGCUGCCCAGGCUGGUCUACAACUCCUGACCUCAUGUGAUCCGCCUGCCUCAACCUCCCAAAGUUCUGGGAUUACUGGCAUGAGCCACCGCACCUGACCACAAACAUUCUACUUUCUACUUCUAUGAUUUCAAAUUUAGAUUCCACAUGUAAGUAACUCACAACUUAUUCAUGUGAUUUGAUGUUGUUCUAGAAUCCAUCACCCUGCUUCCCUUUUCUACAGGCCUUGUGACUCCUUCUUUCCCACUGUACUUGGUUCUCUGCUUUAACUGACUGGAACAUCCCUAAAUCUACUGAAGUGAUCCCCAACUCCCAUGUCUCUGUUUCCCACUUGCAAUGACUCUGCCCCAUUCCACUGACCAUGAGAGCCCUGUUCCUGCCAAUGUCAUAACUCUAGCUACCUCUAAUCCUGUGAGCUGCACCUAGA
rnacentral:lncRNA from 1 species